AACGAACGCUGGCGGCAGGCUUAACACAUGCAAGUCGAACGCACCUUUCGGGGUGAGUGGCAGACGGGUGAGUAACGCGUGGGAAUCUACCCUUCUCUACGGGAUAGCUCCGGGAAACUGGAAUUAAUACCGUAUACGUCCUGAGGGAGAAAGAUUUAUCGGGGAAGGAUGAGCCCGCGUUGGAUUAGCUAGUUGGUGGGGUAAAGGCCUACCAAGGCGACGAUCCAUAGCUGGUCUAAGAGGAUGAUCAGCCACAUUGCGACUGAGACACGGCCCAAACUCCUACGGGAGGCAGCAGUGGGGAAUAUUGGACAAUGGGCGCAAGCCUGAUCCAGCCAUGCCGCGUGAGUGAUGAAGGCCCUAGGGUUGUAAAGCUCUUUCAGUGGGGACGAUAAUGACGGUACCCACAGAAGAAGCCCCGGCUAACUUCGUG
rnacentral:rRNA from 1 species